CAACAAAGAUACAUGAAUCUAACAAAGAUAAACAAGAAGCUUUUUCAAUUUAAUAUAAUUCUUGAAUGGAAGCACAUAAAAAUAAUUACUCUAAAUGAAGGGCGAUGAAAUUGAUUAAAUAACUGAGAUAAUGCUUGGCAAUACUGUUUACCAUGAAAAGGUCAUCCCAUGGCACUUCAUGAUCAAGGUAAAGAAAAGAAUUUGUCCAUAAAGGAACCUCUCUAUAAAAGAAAGUAGGGUCAUUAUGG
rnacentral:lncRNA from 1 species